CGCAAGCCUGACGGAGCAAGACCGCGUGCGGGAUGACGGCCUAAUGGUUGUAAACCGCUUUUCUCUGGGAAGAUGAUGACGGUACCAGAGGAAUCAGCCUCGGCUAACUCCGUGCCAGCAGCCGCGGUAAUACGGAGGAGGCAAGCGUUAUCCGGAAUUAUUGGGCGUAAAGCGUCCGUAGGUGGUUAUUCAAGUCUGCUGUCAAAGCGUGGGGCUUAACUCCAUAGAGGCAGUGGAAACUGGAUGACUUGAGUGCGGUAGGGGUCGAGGGAAUUCCCAGUGUAGCGGUGAGAUGCGUAGAUAUUGGGAAGAACACCAGUGGCGAAAGCGCUCGACUGGGCCUGCACUGACACUGAGGGACGAAAGCUAGGGGAGCG
rnacentral:rRNA from 1 species